GCCCGGCUAGCUCAAUUGGCAGAGCGUGUGACUUUUAGGGGUGUUCAUCACCUGAAAUCACAAGGUUCGGGGUUCGACCCCCCGGUCGGGCA
rnacentral:tRNA from 1 species